CGUAGGCAGCGAGCGUUGUUCGGAGUUACUGGGCGUAAAGCGUGCGUAGGCGGUGGUCCAAGUCUGGUGUGAAAUCUCCCGGCUCAACCGGGAGGGUGCGCCGGAAACUGGGCGGCUGGAGUGCCGGAGAGGCAAGCGGAAUUCCUGGUGUAGCGGUGAAAUGCGUAGAUAUCAGGAGGAACACCCGUGGUGUAGACGGCUUGCUGGACGGCAACUGACGCUGAGGCACGAAAGCGUGGGGAGCAAACAGGAUUAGAUACCCUGGUAGUCCACGCCCUAAACGAUGCAUACUUGGUGUGGGCAGUUCAGUCUGUCCGUGCCGAAGCUAACGCGAUAAGUAUGCCGCCUGGGGAGUACGGUCGCAAGGCUG
rnacentral:rRNA from 1 species